AUAUGUAUAGCUUAUGGUGCUUUCUAAAAUAUCUUAAAAGUAAAAGAGUAGCUAAGCCAAUUUGCAUAGGAGGGAGUCUUGGGACUUUAAUAUGGAUAAAGUAUUCCAGAAGCCAUUUGUAGUUUUUGUUGAAGUGUUACUAUGGAUAUUGGUUUGUUGAAGAAAAUAGGCUUUUUUUCUUUUUUUGUUACUGUGCAAAUACUUUUAAUAGCAAACCUGAUUAAUAUUUUUCAGUUGUAGAAUGUGUGAGCCACUGUGCCCAGCCUUGUAUUUUGAUUUUUAAAUUAAUUUAUGUGAAUAUUUCGUUUUACUCUAUAUCAGGGCUUAAUAUUUUUAAACUUCAUUAUAAAAAGUUGAUUACAGAAAGUGGUAUCUUCUAGUUGGGAGCCAUCUUCGCACAUCUCUCUCCAACUCUGCCUUUAGUGAUAUGUCAAUAACAAAUUGGCCGUGGCGGGAGCAUUUUACACCAUGGAAACUGAUAAAUGCAGCAAAUCAAGGAAUUCC
rnacentral:sRNA from 1 species